UGUCUCUGAUCUGGAUAGGACAGCAUUGAAUUGGUAGUUCUCUCAUCUCAUGUCUACCAAGGGCAAAACAAUUCCUUGCUCAUCCCAGCUUGAUUUUUGGUCUAUGGCUGUAUCUGGUUCAUGCCUUAGACACAUGG
ensembl:snoRNA SNORA48 small nucleolar RNA, H/ACA box 48